AUUGAACGCUGGCGGCAGGCCUAACACAUGCAAGUCGAACGGUAACAGGAAACAGCUUGCUGUUUCGCUGACGAGUGGCGGACGGGUGAGUAAUGUCUGGGAAACUGCCUGAUGGAGGGGGAUAACUACUGGAAACGGUAGCUAAUACCGCAUAACGUCGCAAGACAAAAGAGGGGGACCUUCAGGCCUCUUGCCAUCGGAUGUGCCCAGAUGGGAUUAGCUAGUAGGUGGGGUAACGGCUCACCUAGGCGACGAUCCCUAGCUGGUCUGAGAGGAUGACCAGCCACACUGGAACUGAGACACGGUCCAGACUCCUACGGGAGGCAGCAGUGGGGAAUAUUGCACAAUGGGCGCAAGCCUGAUGCAGCCAUGCCGCGUGUAUGAAGAAGGCCUUCGGGUUGUAAAGUACUUUCAGCGGGGAGGAAGGGAGUAAAGUUAAUACCUUUGCUCAUUGACGUUACCCGCAGAAGAAGCACCGGCUAACUCCGUG
rnacentral:rRNA from 1 species